CGUUUUGCUGUCUCCCUCUCCCACCCCAGCCCAUUCCCACUUUUGUAGUUCACUUUUUCCAUUUCCCUCUUGAUAUUCAAAACAAUUGACUUAGGAUUCAGUUCAUCUACUUUUUUUUUUGUAAUAUAUAUUUUUGGGGACGAUAUUUUGCCGUUUUUAGAAAUCAGUUGAUUAAGUUAAGAAGUUGAUGUUUUUGUAAGGCCCCUCCCCUUGACCCCCUUUGGUGUCCUUUUUGAAUGCCUCACAAAUGAAUGAUUCUGGAACCCAUGUUUCUUAUCCUCUGUUCGCUUUUGAACAUAUGUGCGCCUAUCACGUGGACUUCUGAAAAAAAAAUGAAUGUAAAAGACACUGGUGUAUCUCAGAAUGGGAUGGUGUUGUCACAAACUGUGGUUUAUCCAAUCAAUUUAAAUGUUUACUAUAGACCAAAAGGAGAGAUUAUUAAAUUGUUUAAUGUUUAUACAGAGUAAUUAUAGGAAGUUCUUUUUUGUACAGUAUUUUUCAGAUAUAAAUACUGACAAUGUAUUUUGGAAGACAUAUAUUAUAUAUAGAAAAGAGAAAAAAAGGAAAACUAUUCCAUGUUUUAAAAUUAUAUAGCAAAGAUAUAUAUUCACCAAAUGCUGUUCAGAGGAGUGCUUGGGGUUUUUUGAAGUCUUUAAUAUUUUAAACCUAUUACUGACACAUCAGCAUGUUUUCUGCUUAAAAUUAAAUUUUUAUGACAAUACUGAGGCUCGCUGUGACGAAUCCUGCUCCAGCACUUUCUUGUUUCUUAUUAGGUCUCAGAAGGAAGUCAGUUAACGUCACCCAAAAGCACAAAAUGGGUUUUAGUCAAAUAUUUAUUGGAUGAUACAGUGUUUUUUUAGGAAAAGCAUCUGCCACAUAAAUGUUCACUUCAGAAUUCUGAGUUGCUGGAACGGAGUGUCGUUGCCAGGGCCCUGGAUGAUUUUGUUCUCUUUCGGCCUGUGCAUCCCCUGCAGUGUAAGGUUGACCUCGGUGCUAUGUGUGUGGCUUAUAGUUUGAUGGCUGUUUUGACUUUAAAGAUGGCUGUCAUUUUGUUUCGCUGAGUUGUGUAAUGUCAAGAGAGUCUGCUGUUUCUUCAAAGGCACAUUUUGUGCUCGAUUAAAAAUCCCCUUUCAUCC
rnacentral:lncRNA from 1 species